rnacentral:tRNA from 1 species
GGGGCUGUAGCUCAGUUGGGAGAGCGCUAGGUUCGCAAUUUAGAGGCCGUCGGUUCGAUCCCGAUCAGCUCCACCA